rnacentral:rRNA from 1 species
CACGGGGGGAGCAAGCGUUGUUCGGAAUCACUGGGCGUAAAGGGAGUCUAGGCGGUCAGGUAAGUGGGAUGUGAAAUCCCUCGGCUCACCCGAGGACCUGCAUCCCAAACUGUCUGGCUUGAGUAUGGGAGAGGAUGAGGGAAUUCCUGGUGUAGCGGUGAAAUGCGUAGAUAUCUGGAGGAACACCGGUGGCGAAGGCGGCAUCCUGGACCAAUUCUGACGCUGAGUGAGCGAAAGCCAGGGGAGCAAACGGG